AUUGAACGCUGGCGGCAGGCCUAACACAUGCAAGUCGAACGGUAGCACAGAGAGCUUGCUCUCGGGUGACGAGUGGCGGACGGGUGAGUAACGUCUGGGAAACUGCCCGAUGGAGGGGGAUAACUACUGGAAACGGUAGCUAAUACCGCAUAACGUCGCAAGACCAAAGUGGGGGACCUUCGGGCCUCACACCAUCGGAUGUGCCCAGAUGGGAUUAGCUAGUAGGUGGGGUAAUGGCUCACCUAGGCGACGAUCCCUAGCUGGUCUGAGAGGAUGACCAGCCACACUGGAACGGAGACACGGUCCAGACUCCUACGGGAGGCAGCAGUGGGGAAUAUUGCACAAUGGGCGCAAGCCUGAUGCAGCCAUGCCGCGUGUAUGAAGAAGGCCUUCGGGUUGUAAAGUACUUUCAGCGGGGAGGAAGGCGGUGAAGUUAAUAACUUCACCGAUUGACGUUACCCGCAGAAGAAGCACCGGCUAACUUCGUGCCAGCCGCCGCCGUAA
rnacentral:rRNA from 1 species